AAACAUGGUUCUUUGAGAAAGAUAAAGAAUCGGGCCUGCCCGGUGGCAUUACUUAGCUUAACGGCCGCAGUAUAUUGACUGUGCAAAGGUAGCAUAAUCAUUUGCCUUUUAAUUGGAGGCUGGUAUGAAUGGUUUGACAAGAAUAGAGCUGUCUCUAGGAGAUUAUAUAGAAAUUAGUCUUUAGGUGAAGAAACCUAAAUAUAAUUAAAAGACGAGAAGACCCUGUCGAGCUUUAUAGAAAUAUUUGGAGCAGUUGAGGAUUUAUCUUGCUGGUUAAGAUUUAUUUAAGUGAUAAUAUUAAUAGGGUUAUUAAGAUUAUAGUUUAUAACUUAUUCCUGUAAGAUUUUUAGUUGGGGCAACUUAGGAACAAGAAAAACUUCCUAAAGACAGUGUGUUAAGAAGAAUGUUAUAAAAGAGUUCAAAAUGCUUAGGACUGUGAGUAUUAGUAACUCUACAAAGUAAAUUUUUCAGAAAGAUGAGCCACUAUUUAAGUGACUAUAGGAAUAAGCUACCGCAGGGAUAACAGCGUAAUUUUCUUAGAGAGUUCAAAUCGAUAAGGAAGUUUGCGACCUCGAUGUUGGAUUAAAGUAACCUGAAGAUGUAGAAGUCUUUAAAAAUUAUUUGGGUUGGUCUGUUCGACCAUUAAAACUUUACAUGAUCUGA
rnacentral:rRNA from 1 species